rnacentral:rRNA from 1 species
AUUGAACGCUGGCGGCAGGCUUAACACAUGCAAGUCGAGCGGAGAUGAGGUGCUUGCACCUUAUCUUAGCGGCGGACGGGUGAGUAAUGCUUAGGAAUCUGCCAUUUAGUGGGGGACAACAUUCCGAAAGGAAUGCUAAUACCGCAUACGUCCUACGGGAGAAAGCAGGGAAUCUUCGGACCUUGCGCUAAAUGAUGAGCCUAAGUCGGAUUAGCUAGCUGGUGGGGUAAAGGCCCACCAAGGCGACGAUCUGUAGCGGGUCUGAGAGGAUGAUCCGCCACACUGGGACUGAGACACGGCCCAGACUCCUACGGGAGGCAGCAGUGGGGAAUAUUGGACAAUGGGCGGAAGCCUGAUCCAGCCAUGCCGCGUGUGUGAAGAAGGCCUUUUGGUUGUAAAGCACUUUAAGCGAGGAGGAGGCUACUAGUACUAAUACUACUGGAUAGUGGACGUUACUCGCAGAAUAAGCACCGGCUAACUCUGUGCCAGCCGCCGCCGUAA